GUUAAUGACUUGAGUCUUCCUGUUGCCAUUAAUGUUUAAUGGUGGUCUAAAAUGUGUCAAAAAUUUGGGAAUUCAGAAUUUGCAGGAAUGAUGAGUUUUAAUACUUUAAGCGUUAAUAACACACAGACAUGUGCCCAGGUAAAACUCAAAUGUUCUUUAAAGAGUCGGACAAGUGACACCUCAAACUAUUUCUGUACAUUGUCACAGGUUUUGUUUGUUAGGUUUGUGAAGUGUUAAAUUGACUUCUCCUGUAGAACACACGUCUCUGUACUAAAAACCAAAGACAUGAAAAGAUAGGAGUGACAGACAAAGAAAAUGUCUCGCAAAUUAUACAGGGUCAAAGUACAUCUAUUUAACCCUCUUUAAACUCAUGAUACAUUAGAAGCUAAAGAUGUUACCUGUACAAGAAAGUAUCAGAGAGCCGAGUAACUGACAAUAGGGAUGAUAUCAUCUUUUAUAUUUUCAUUUUUAUAAUGACAUUGUGUUAAAAUCUGGGGAAAGUCAUGUGGGGAUGGAAGCAAAAUAUCGAGAUGUUCUUAGAUGCCAAAAUUAAAUUUUAAAUUAUUCGGAAUUGCUUCUGUUAUAAACGAAGCUCAUACUGUAUGCCAAUAAAUGAAUGUCACAAUUUUAAGGGGUGGGGGACAACUACACUACAUUGUUUCAGUGGUAUUUAGUAAUUGAACCGGAACUAUGCAGGAGAUGAUUCUGUGGAAUAUGUGACUUUAUCACGCUAAUAAUUGAGUAAUUGUAUUCCCCAGAAUUAAGUCCAGUGUGUACACAGUAAAUGGUUAUUGGUUAUUUUACAGAAUGAAUUCUUACAACACAAUUGUUUGUUUUAUGGUACAUUAUACUGAAAGUUUCUGAUUGUCAUUUGAAAGAUUUUCAAUCCUUUGCAAAUUAAAAUAUUUUAAAAAAUAAAUUCCUAAACGGAAUAUCGGUUAAUAAUGGUUCAGUUCCUUUUGUGUUUUCAAAGCUAUGAUGAACUGAAAUUCGUCUACAUUCGAUUUAAAUGGGAUGUGGUCACAACAAGCUAAUCGUUGCUUAAAUGUUUUGAUGGCCAGCUUUAUUAUUUGAUUAAAUCCAAGCUGUCUAUUAAACUGUCUAAAAAUGGAAUUGACAAUCAGGGGCUUUACAUGAUUUGGUUUAUUAUUGAUGAAUUUUGUAAGAAUUGCAUCCAUUCAUUAUUAUGUAUUUUAACAGUUUGUUGGUGAAGGUAUAAAAUAACUAUUUAAUCUUUUGCAAAAUGUGACAUGUUUUUAACUUAAACAUCUUUUACAUAAUUAAUAAUAUUUUUAAUUUUUUAACUUUAAACACCCUCAAUCUCUAAUUUUUGAAAUUUUAAUUUAUUAAUAGAUUUCUCAAUGAUUGGGUUGAUUGUACAUGUACAUACAUGUAGACUAUAUUUUAAUUGUAACUGAGUACAGAACAGCCUCGUCAAGUAUGUUAAUGAAUAAGUCCUAUCUUCAAAUGUAGCAGCUAAAAUGGGUUAAACAUAGAUAACAGAAACUGAACUACUAUGCUAAAUACUAUAGUUGCUUAUGGUUAACAGCCUAUUGAAUUUGGUGUAACUUUCACAGUCAAGUUGCAAAUUCAAGUCAUUAUGUUUUUAAUUUUCAUUAGAUUUUAACUUGUUAAAAUUAUCAAAAAAGAACAAAUCAUAUGGAAUACAGUUAAUCGUUUGUUACACAUAUAGCACAACAUUUCAACAAUUAUUCUGUUAUUGUAUUCAAGCACAAAUACUAGUUAGUUAACUAAAAGGUAUAUUAAUAUGGAAUACAAUCACUCAAGGAUUAUAAUGUUAUCAUCUUUCAAUGUCAUUAUAUUACACUAGUUAAAUUGUGAUAAUAUGUUUCAAUAUAUUCCAUUAUUUUAACAUGUAUGCUGUACCUAUCAAUAAUAUUUUAUACCAAUAACUCAAUCAUCUUCCUAUUGUCAUGUAUGAAAAAUGUGAUGUUGCUUACACCCUUGGCUGCUAUUAGAGUUGUUCGUCUAAAAGAUAUAUAUUUACACUGAGUGAUCAGGACAAGAAAAAUAUUCUUACUUCUAUUACAUGUGCAUACAUACAUGUAUAAACAACGAAAUUUGUUAGUCAUGUGAUCUCCUUAUGUAAAGGAGAGGUGGUAUCGGAUGUUCUAGAAAGGAUAAGCAUAGACUAUCUUGUUCUUGAUACAACUAAAUUAAACGCUAGUUUGAAUUUGGAUAUUAGAAGUUGAUUUUUCUGACCAGUGUUCUUUAACAGUGUCAAGUGUUAAGCAUCAUAGUUCUUUCAUGCUUUUCAGUGAUUGUGAGGAUGAUAAUCCAAUAUAUGAUAUCCUGUCAGUAUUAAAUUACACCCCUGUCAAUAUGUGAUGAGUGUAUCCUUAGCUUUAUGUUAUUUUAUGAAGAACCAAUAUUUUUAUUUAUGGUUGUUAUGUUUAUGUAAAAUAUCAGUUAUUUAAUGUAUCAUGCAAUGCCUGCAAGUCAACUCAAAAAUGUUAGUUAUUGAAUGUAUCCUACAAUGCUUACAUACAAGUUAACUCAAAAAUAUUAGUUAUUGAAUCUAUCCUACAAUGCUUACAUACUGCAAGUCAACUCAAAAAUUAUUAGUUAUAAUUAGUUACAACCCAAAAAUAGAAAUUUCAAUCUUAUUUAUUUAAUUGAUCAUAUAUUAUAUCUUUUCUUAGAUGUUAUUUAAUGACCUCAAAACAUACCAUUUCUUGCCGUUUCUACCUAUAAACUAUUUGAAAUGAAGGCAUCAAAAAUAGGAAUUCAAAUCUUAUGCAUGUAAUUGAUCAUAUAUAUCUCUCUCUUUUAAGAAGUUUCUUAAUGACCUCAUCAUCUACCAUUUCUUGCCCUAUCAAAAAAGUAUCAUUAAAAUGUAAAUGGUCUGAAAAUUCUUUAAAUUUACAAUCAUAAAUGUGGUUAUAAUUAAAUGUUAUUUUAAUGUAUUCAGUGUUUUUGUUAAGGUUAUAUUGAUUUUUUAAAAUCAUGUAAUGGUUGAUUUAUGCUGCAAUUAUAAACCUUUUGGGGGGUUGGGUGGCCGAAUGGUUAGCGCAUGUGCGUGCUGUAUCAUAAGGUCUGUCAUUGAGUCAACUGACAGGGUUUCGAUUCUCAGGUUGUACGUGACAAGGAGUAGGGUCGUGACAAGGAGUAGGGUAGCUUGUCCAACCUUGUGGGUUUUCUCUGGAUCCUCUGGUUUCCUCCCACUGCUACAGACCCUUACGCGCUGGCAAGUUAUUGAAAUAAAAUUGAACCCUAUGUUAGUCCUGAAAUGACCUAGUUUGUGUCGAGUGGACAUUGAACUCCAUUUCUCUCUCUCUAUCUCUCUAUAAUCAUUUUUCUUUCUUUAAAAUUCACUGUUUUAAUGGCAAUUUGAGAAGUAGAUACAUGGCACACCUCUUGUUGUGGAGUAAAAACUUGUUUUAAUUACUUUUUGUACAGAUUUAACAAACAAUUUGAAUUUUCACAAAAGCUAGUUAGACACAGUCUACAUUGCCCACACACAUUUAUUACAUUUCGGUCAUGUUGAAGUAAUUAAUACUUGAAGUUUUCAAUUACAACAGCUCUGUAUCAUUAUUGAUUAGAUUUAUCAGAUUGUCAUUAAGAGAAACGUCUUGAAGAGCCAGUAAUAUCUUAUAUUACAAGAAAAAACAAUUACUCAAUAAAGUUAUAUAAGUUUUUAAAACCCUUUAGCACCUGGUACACAUAAAUAUUGAUUACUGUUCCCUGAAGAAAUUAAUUAUUUUUUUCUACAAUUAGUUUUAGAAUUCAUUUUCAAAACCAUCCGAAACUACUGGUCUCUAGAUUGUCUCAAUUCACAGAACUACAGUGAAAAUAUACAGAAGAGUUCUUUGGAAAACAGUUGCUGUUUUAAUCAGAGCUAUGUUUGUACAAUGAUUCUCUUAUCCUUUUCAAGCACAAUUACAAUCCUUAUACAGUUCACAGCUGUGAUUAGGAGAGUUUGAGGGGCUGUAAGGAGCAGUAGUUUGGGGCUUUCCAGGUGCUAAUAGGUUAAUAUGUUCUAAUGUCCAUAUUAAAUCUAGCCAUUGUUCACUGUAUUUAGUUUUAUUUGUUUGUUUUAGUCAUCUGGUCAACAUGUUACCAUGAAUAAAAUUAGUUUUAUUUAAUCAUC